rnacentral:rRNA from 1 species
GACGAACGCUGGCGGCGCGCUUAACACAUGCAAGUCGAGCGAGAACCGGGGCUUCGGCCCCGGGGACAGCGGCGAACGGGUGAGUAACACGUGGGUAACCUGCCCUCGGCACCGGGAUAGCCCGGGGAAACCCGGAUUAAUACCGGACAGCCUCCGGAGCCUUCGGGCGCCGGAGAAAAGGUGGCUUCGGCUUCCGGCCGAGGAGGGGCCUGCGGGGGAUUAGCUUGUUGGCGGGGUACCGGCGCACCAAGGCGACGAUCCGUAGCUGGUCUGGGGGGAGGAUCAGCCACACUGGGACCGGGACACGGCCCAGACUCCUACGGGAGGCAGCAGUGGGGAGUCUUGCACGAUGGGCGCAAGCCUGAUGGAGCGACGCCGUGUGCGGGAAGAAGGCCUUCGGGUUGUAAACCGCUUUCAGGAGGGACGAAGCUCCUCGGGUUAAUAGCCCAGAGGGUGACGGUACCUCCAGAAGAAGCCCCGGCUAACUACGUGCCAGCCGCCGCGGUAAUAC